rnacentral:rRNA from 1 species
GAUGGUUCAUUCAAAUUUCUGCCCUAUCAACUUUCGAUUGUAUGUUAUUGGCUUACAAUGGUGUCAACGGGUAACGGGAAUUAGGGUUCUAUUCCGGAGAGGGAGCCUGAGAAACGGUACCACAUCCAAGGAAGGCAGCAGGCGCGCAAAUUACCCAAUCCCGACACGGGGAGGUAGUGACAAUAAAUACUGAUACAGGGCUCUUUUGGGUCUUGUAAUUGGAAUGAGUACAAUUUAAAUCCCUUAACGAGGAACAAAUUGGAGGGCAAGUCUGGUGCCAGCAGCCGCGGUAAUUCCAGCUCCAAUAGCGUAUAUUAAAGUUGUUGCAGUUAAAAAGCUCGUAGUCGAACCUUGGGCCUGGCUGGCCGGUCCGCCUCACCGCUGUGCACUGGUCCGGCCGGGUCUUUCCUUCUGGGGAGCCGCAUGCCCUUCACUGGGUGUGUCGGGGAACCAGGACUUUUACUUUGAAAAAAUUAGAGUGUUCAAAGCAGGCCUAUGCUCGAAUACAUUAGCAUGGAAUAAUAGAA